CCUCCUGGGAGAUUUGGGGUCGUGUCCCCCCCCCCGGUUUCCCAAGUUUGGGGUUUUGGGGUGCCCACGUCCUGACCCUGGGGGGGGUUGGGGUUCCCUAAUCCCAAUCCCUGGACUUUUGGGUUUCCCUAAUCCCCAUCCCUAGAUUUUUGGAAUCCCCAAAUCCCAAUCCCUGGACCCUUGGGCUCCCCAAAUCCCAACCCCUUGAGUUUUGGGCUCCCCAAAUCCCAACCCCUGGGGGGUUUGGGGCCCCCAAAUCCCAAUCCCUGAACCCUUGGGGCCCCCAAAUCCCAACCCCUGGGGGUUUGGGGUUCCCAAUUCCCAAUCCCUGAAGCCUUUGGGUCCCCAAAUCCCACUCCCUGGGGGUUUGGGGCCCCCAAAUCCCAAUCCCUGGACCUUUUGGAUCCCCAAAUCCCAAUCCCUUGAGUUUUGGGCUCCCCAAAUCCCAAUCCCUGAACCCUUGGGGUCCCCAAAUCCCAAACCCUGGAUUUUUGGGGUUCCCAAAUCCCAACCCCUUGAGUUUUGGGCUCCCCACAUCCCAAACCCUGGACCUUUGGGCUCCCCAAAUCCCAACCCCUGCACCUUUGGCGUUCCCUAAUCCCACUCCCUGGAUUUUUGGGGUUCCCAAAUCCCACUCCCUUUACCUUUGCACCCCUUUACACCCCCCCUAUUUUCUCCCCCCCCCCACCCCCCCACGGCCCCCCCCCCCCCCCCCCCGCGGCGCCGUGGGGGGGUCCCUGGGCUCCAAACAGGUCCCGGCGACCCCCAGGGGUCCCGUGGGGACCCCCCUGGACCCCCAGGGUCCCGUCUGGGUCCCAGUGGGCUCGGAGCUGCAGCUCCAGUGCUCCCAGUCCCACUGCCCCUGCUUCCAGUUGCUCGGCCCAGUGCCCCCCCCAGACACAAAGUCCCAAAACCAAGCCUUCUUCAGCAUCCCGGUCAAUACUGGGACCAAGGUCACCUGCCGCUGCUGGAAGGAUACUGGGAGCACUGGGAGCACUGGGAGCACUGGGAGCACUGGGAGCCCUGUGAGUUGUAGGGGUACUGGGACGACUUGGAGCCCUGGGAGCACCAGUGAAGAGCUGGUCGUGGUGGCGUAUAGUGAGUGGGGGAACUGGGAGGAACUGGGGAGGACUGGGAGGAACUGGGGAGGACUGGGGGGGAAGUGGGGAGGACUGGGGGGAAGUGGGGGGAACUGGGGGCAGGGAUGGGGACAUACUGGGGGAAACUGGGGAUGGGUACUGGGAACAGGGCGGGGCAGAAACUGGGGGAACUGGGGUGAAACUGGGGGGCCAGUUCCACCCAAACUGGGACAAACUGGGAGUGGGCUGGGGGAAGGGGUCAUGUCCCCCCUG
rnacentral:lncRNA from 1 species